UACGGAGGAUCCAAGCGUUAUCCGGAUUUAUUGGGUUUAAAGGGUGCGUAGGUGGCUUAUUAAGUCAGGGGUGAAAGACGGUAGCUUAACUAUCGCAGUGCCUUUGAUACUGAUGAGCUUGAAUGAACUAGAGGUAGGCGGAAUGUGACAAGUAGCGGUGAAAUGCAUAGAUAUGUCACAGAACACCAAUUGCGAAGGCAGCUUACUAUGGUUUGAUUGACACUGAAGCACGAAAGCGUGGGGAGCAAACAGG
rnacentral:rRNA from 1 species